CAUCGUGCUAGGUGACGCACGCACGAACAAUCUCAACCCGCGUGCGGACAUCCUGCGCCGUAUCUCGGAGAGGUCGAAGCGGGUUGUUUGGCUCAAUCCCGAAGGGCGCAUGAUCUGGGGCAUGGGCGAUUCCGAGAUGCCGCGAUACGCAACGUAUUGCAGCGUCGUGCGCCAAUGCUCUACGGCACGGCAACUCGAACGC
rnacentral:misc_RNA from 1 species